GUCAUUUUAUAGACAGUAAACUUGUGUGUUGUGUAACCUCUCUACAGUGACAUAGCUGUUAAGAGCCUGUAUUGAACCUGGGCAGCUUAGCCCAGAGUUGGGUUGGGUUGGGUUUUUUUCGUUUUGUUUUGUUUUUUUGACAUAGUCUCUUUCUGUUGCCCAGGCUGGAGUGCAGUGGCAGGAUCUCGUCUCACUGCAGCCUCCGCCUCUCGGGUUCAAGCGAUUCUUCUGCCUCAGCCUCCUGAGCCCAGACUAUUAAGCUGUACUGCCUCUCAUGAGACAGAAUUGAUUUUAAAUGGCAGGGGGAUUUGGCUAAAGGAAAGAAAUGCUGAAAAUGCCAUCGAAGCCCUUAAGGAAUAUGAGCCUGAAAUGGGCAAAGUGUAUCGACAGGACAGAAAGAGUGUACAGCGGAUUAAAGCUAAAGACAUAGUUCCUGGUGAUAUUGUAGAAAUUGCUGUUGGUGACAAAGUUCCUGCUGAUAUAAGGUUAACUUCCAUCAAAUCUACCACACUAAGAGUUGACCAGUCAAUUCUCACAG
rnacentral:sRNA from 1 species